rnacentral:tRNA from 1 species
GCCCAGAUGGCGGAACUGGUAGACGCGCUAGACUCAAAAUCUAGUUCUCGCAAGGGAGUGGGGGUUCGAUUCCCCCUUUGGGCACUA